rnacentral:rRNA from 1 species
UACGGAGGGUGCAAGCGUUGCUCGGAAUCACUGGGCGUAAAGCGACCGCAGGCGGCCUGACAAGUCGGAUGUGAAAGCCCUGGGCUCAACUCAGGAAUUGCAUUCGAAACUGGCAGGCUCGAGUACGGGAGAGGGGGGUGGAAUUCCUGGUGUAGGGGUGAAAUUCGUUGAUAUCAGGAGGAACACCGGCGGCGAAGGCGGCCCCCUGGCCCGCAACUGACGCUGAGGCGCGAAAGCUAGGGGAGCAAACAGG